GCCUAACACAUGCAAGUCGAGCGGCAGCACAAGUGAGUUUACUUAUGAGGUGGCGAGCGGCGGACGGGUGAGUAAUGCCUAGGGAUCUGCCCAGUCGAGGGGGAUAACAGUUGGAAACGACUGCUAAUACCGCAUACGCCCUACGGGGGAAAGGAGGGGACCUUCGGGCCUUCCGCGAUUGGAUGAACCUAGGUGGGAUUAAGCUAGUUGGUAGAGGUAAUGGCUCACCAAGGCGACGAUCCCUAGCUGUUCUGAGAGGAUGAUCAGCCACACUGGGACUGAGACACGGCCAGACUCCUACGGAGAGGCAGCAGUGGGGAAUAUUGCACAAUGGGGGAAACCCUGAUGCAGCCAUGCCGCGUGUGUGAAGAAGGCCUUCGGGUUGUAAAGCACUUUCAGCUAGGGAGGAAAGGGUGAGUCUUAAUACGGCUCAUCUGUGAUGUUACCUACAGAAGAAGGACCGGCUAACUCCGUGCCCAGCAGCCGCGGUAAUACGGAGGGUCCGAAGCGUUAAUCGGAAUUACUGGGCGUUAAGCGUGC
rnacentral:rRNA from 1 species